AGGUCGCGCGGAGGUGCUGUCGGUGGCCACGAACCCGAGUAAGUGGUAGACGCACGACAACCUGGGAAGGUGGUGUCAGGCGAGUGCCCAUCACACAAAUGAGGACACUGCGCCGGGAAGUCCCUUGCCUGGGGUCAUGCCGCCCAGUCUAAGGUUUAUGCCAACAAGCCCAUGACCACCCACGCCUUGAAGGAGGAAAUUGAGCGCUGUAUCAACGAAAUUCAGC